rnacentral:rRNA from 1 species
GCGAUAGGAGAUACUCACGCUUGCCCGGGGGUGGAUCACUCGGCUCGU